rnacentral:lncRNA from 1 species
UAUAUUUAAUCGUAGUUUCAGAAUCCUUCAUCAGGGUGAGUUUACAUCUAUAAAAAAAAAUUAUCUAAAAAAUUAUAGUACUUACUAAGAAAUAAAAAUCUUCAACAACACAAAUAUCUUUUUCAUUCAUUUGGCCCUAGUACACUUGCUAUCAAUAGCAAUCCAAUCUACCUCUAUAGUAUAGGAAACAAAUAACGUGACAAUUAUAACCACCAAACAUCAAUCAAGUGGAACAAUCUUACAAGCUUUUUAGUGGCG